rnacentral:rRNA from 1 species
GACGAACGCUGGCGGCGUGCUUAACACAUGCAAGUCGAACGGAAAGGCCCUGCUUUUGUGGGGUGCUCGAGUGGCGAACGGGUGAGUAACACGUGAGUAACCUGCCCUUGACUUUGGGAUAACUUCAGGAAACUGGGGCUAAUACCGGAUAGGAGCUCCUGCUGCAUGGUGGGGGGUGGAAAGUUUCGGCGGUGGGGGAUGGACUCGCGGCUUAUCAGCUUGUGGGUGGGGUAGUGGCUUACCAAGGCUUUGACGGGUAGCCGGCCUGAGAGGGUGACCGGCCACAUUGGGACUGAGAUACGGCCCAGACUCCUACGGGAGGCAGCAGUGGGGAAUAUUGCACAAUGGGCGGAAGCCUGAUGCAGCAACGCCGCGUGCGGGAUGACGGCCUUCGGGUUGUAAACCGCUUUCGCCUGUGACGAAGCGUGAGUGACGGUACUGGGUAAAGAAGCACCGGCUAACUACGUG